CCAGACGGCCGGAUGACCGCCUUCGCGGGGCGCCAGCCCCGAGGGGGAGGAAAGUCCGGGCUCCACGGUUACACGGUGCCGGGUAACGCCCGGCGGGGGCGACCCCAGGGAAAGUGCCACAGAAAGCAAACCGCCCGCCGCCGUUUCGGCGCCGGCGGGUAAGGGUGAAAGGGUGCGGUAAGAGCGCACCGCGCGGCUGGCGACAGGCGCGGCAAGGUAAACCCCACCGGGAGCAAGACCAAAUAGGGGCGGCAAGCUGGUUCGGCCAGCAGGUGGGUUUCCGCACCGCCGCCCGGGUCGGUUGCGCGAGGCGUCCGGCAACGGGCGUCCCAGAUGAAUGGUCAUCCCCGCCCCUCGGGGCGGCGACAGAACCCGGCUUAUAGGCCGUCUGGCACC
rnacentral:RNase_P_RNA from 1 species